ACCCUUUAAUGUUUGAUGUUCUAACGUGGACCCGUAAUCCGGGUUGCGGACAGUGUCUGGUGGGUAGUUUGACUGGGGCGGUCUCCUCCUAAAGAGUAACGGAGGAGCACGAAGGUUGGCUAAUCCUGGUCGGACAUCAGGAGGUUAGUGCAAUGGCAUAAGCCAGCUUGACUGCGAGCGUGACGGCGCGAGCAGGUGCGAAAGCAGGUCAUAGUGAUCCGGUGGUUCUGAAUGGAAGGGCCAUCGCUCAACGGAUAAAAGGUACUCCGGGGAUAACAGGCUGAUACCGCCCAAGAGUUCAUAUCGACGGCGGUGUUUGGCACCUCGAUGUCGGCUCAUCACAUCCUGGGGCUGAAGUAGGUCCCAAGGGUAUGGCUGUUCGCCAUUUAAAGUGGUACGCGAGCUGGGUUUAGAACGUCGUGAGACAGUUCGGUCCCUAUCUGCCGUGGGCGCUGGAGAACUGAGGGGGGCUGCUCCUAGUACGAGAGGACCGGAGUGGACGCAUCACUGGUGUUCGGGUUGUCAUGCCAAUGGCACUGCCCGGUAGCUAAAUGCGGAAGAGAUAAGUGCUGAAAGCAUCUAAGCACGAAACUUGCCCCGAGAUGAGUUCUCCCUGAGACUUAG
rnacentral:rRNA from 2 species